GAGGGGAAAGGGUUAGAACUCUAGAGAGAAGGCUGGGAGGUUAGAGAGAAGGAGGAGAAUUUGAGUUUCUGAAGGUAGAAGACGAAGGAUUUUGCAUGCAUAAGUGAUACCAACUUUCGAAAAUUCAACUUUAAAUAUGGCCACUCAGCUAGCCGUUCGGUCCACUUACAACAUGCCACUAUCUAGAAGCUAUCAUUCUCUCAGCAGUCGUCCGGAUUACGAAGGAGGGGAAUUAAAUGAGCUGACAGGAUUGUCUCCCAC
rnacentral:lncRNA from 1 species